AGGGACUUAGGAUAGCAGUUAGACCGGGGGCCUUCAAAGCCCUCAGCGAGAGUGAAAAUCUCUCAGUCCCUG
rnacentral:tRNA from 1 species